rnacentral:rRNA from 1 species
UACGAAGGGGGCUAGCGUUGUUCGGAUUUACUGGGCGUAAAGCGCACGUAGGCGGAUUGUUACGUCUGCUGUGAAAGCCCCGGGCUCAACCUGGGAAUGGCAGUGGAUACUGGCAAGCUAGAGUGCGGUAGAGGGGUGUGGAAUUCCCGGUGUAGCGGUGAAAUGCGUAGAGAUCGGGAGGAACACCAGUGGCGAAGGCGGCACCCUGGACCAGCACUGACACUGAGGCACGAAAGCGUGGGGAGCAAACAGG